AUUUCAUUCGUAAAUUCAGCUGCUCGACGUUAUGUACAUCUGUUCUCUGCUGCUGCCGCCACUUAGUGUAUAAAUUGUUUGAAAGCAGCAAAUAUUUGAGACGCUGCCAUCACCACAAUCAUCAUCAAUGCCGCCUACAACCCCUUCACAAUCUACAAUAUAUUGUUAUUUCGAAAACUCGCGAACUCGUCUGUCGGGUCGUUACUAAAAAUCUUUGUUAAAUUAUCAUUAGCACCCAGCAGCAGCAGUAGAAAUUGUUGUUGCUUUGUUUUUGCUAAAUCUGCAGCAGUUUUAUCGAUUAGAUGUGCUUGCUUGGUCGAGUGGGGAGGAGAGACUGGUGAAGGGUGUUAUAUAUUUUCAUAUAGACAUUAUAGUAUUUGCACGUUGCUCCGGCAGAAACCACCUUGCAAAAUUUCGCUGAAAAAAAAAACCAGAUCGCACAGCUGUUGCUGCCAUUGAAGCGUUUGUUGUUGUUGGUACUGUUGUUGCCGCCAUUAUUGUUGCCAAUUGCUUUCAUGCGCUUAUUUUUAUUUAUUUAUGUACAUAAAUAUUUAUUUUUUUUACAUGCAUACAUACAUAUGUAUAUAGAAAAUUAUUUGCACCGCGCUUGGCUGCGCAGACAAGAUGUCGUCGCUGCCAGCGCAACUGCUGACGCCUACAAGCACUUUUCAACAAUAAAGCACAGGCAAUAAUAAUAAUAAUAGCAAUAAUAACAACAGCUGCAACGCAGCAGUAGCCGAGCGAAAAUGUCAAUGCGUCGUGUUGUUGGUGAUUUCGGCGUGACUCCCCCUCAAAUUUACACGAUAUACAAGUGUACGUAUAAAUCAUGAAAUGUUUGUGCGCGCACCGUUGAUUAAAUCACUCAAACAAAAGAGUCGGCUUCGACAUCAGCGCCCCCACAGCGCAGCACCGUAACGCCUUCGCGGCAAUUCUCUCGCCGUGCACGCUCGCUGCCGCCGUUACCGACGCGUUCGCUUGCGUCACGCGUUUCAUUUGGCGCUCGGCCGUAACUGUAUUCGCCGGUUUUCGUUUUGCAACAAAUUUUAUACAUUUUUUUCUGCAAUUAUUAUUUACCUGUGCAUUUAAAUAUGUAUGAGUGAAAAAAAAAAUAAAAUAAUUAUUUUAUUGCUUUCGGUUACGCAUACACGUGCACCUGUAAGGUUAGUCAGUUGCAUUUGGCGCGCGCAUUGAAUUUGUAGCACCGUGAAAAUUGUUGCGUCUGAAUAUUCAAAUUAUUGUUCGUGUAUAUAUGUGUGUAAACGAACUUUAGCGUAGGUUUUAAAACGAAUCAAUUAAAACAGUGAAA